GUUUCAGCAGCCGCGGUAAUACGUAGGGUGCGAGCGUUAAUCGGAAUUACUGGGCGUAAAGCGUGCGCAGGCGGCGCCGCAAGUCAGGCGUGAAAUCCCCGGGCUCAACCUGGGAAUGGCGCUUGAAACUAUGGUGCUGGAGUGUGGCAGAGGGAGGUGGAAUUCCACGUGUAGCGGUGAAAUGCGUAGAGAUGUGGAGGAACACCGAUGGCGAAGGCAGCCUCCUGGGCCAACACUGACGCUCAUGCACGAAAGCGUGGGGAGCAAACAGGAUUAGAUACCCCAGUAGUCC
rnacentral:rRNA from 1 species